rnacentral:tRNA from 1 species
UCCCUGGUGGCUCAGAGGUUAAAGCGUCUGCCUGCAAUGCAGGAGACCUAAGUUCGAUCCCUGGCUUGGGAA